GAAAAAAAAAAAAGAAAAUGCCGACAAAGAAAGAGAAAACAAUGGUGGAAAAAGCGACGAUAAGAAACAUGAUUCAUCUUGCCGAUGAAGGAAGGUAUCAGUCGACGGAAGUAAAAAAUGAACAGUUUAGCCUAAUGCAGAGGUGUGACCCGAUUUCGUUCAACCCAAAAAAAGGAAAAACUAAUUUGGUUCAAACAAAAAAAGAGGAAAACAUGUGGAGGAUGAGCCGAUUCAGAAGAGCCUACACUCAAUAAUAAUUAGUUCGGUUCAAGCAAAAAAAGAGAAAAAUUCGAUUCAGUUCAACGAAAAAAAGAGAAAAAUAUUCGGAGGACUUGAAACGGUUCAAGGUGGAACCCAUACCCAACAAUGAAGGAAACGUUGUCAUGUGACAAAUUAGGGAGAAUAAUGUAUAGGUAUAGAAGAUUUGCAUGUUGUUACAAGAUUAAUUAGAAAAUUACAUGACUAUUCCUACAAAAAUUUUAAAUAUACGCUUACACUUAUCAAAUUAUUCAAUCUCAAAUAUCUCGCUAAUAAAUUGCGUGAUUUUUUUUUUUUGA
rnacentral:lncRNA from 1 species